rnacentral:lncRNA from 1 species
GGAAUAUCUCACAUCAUGACGUAUGCCAUACAUUUUUUUUGUUUUUUUUUUUUUUUUGGUUAAUGUAGUUUUGAUCAAUCAGUAAUAAUAAAAAAUACGCGCGGUCAUUUGAGCGUGCGAUAAGUAAUGUUAAUUUUUCUUUUGAAAUAGACAUGUCUAGACGUGUUUAGACGGAUCGAGCGGCGAUUGACGAUCAUGUUUGAUAGAAAUUGAUUUUGUUUAAAUUGUUACGUUCUAGUAAUUGGCCAAUCGUGUAGGAUUUUUUUAUUAUUUUUUUUUGCGUGCGAUGGUCAAAACAUGACAGUAAUUUUCAGAUCUCACGCGUCUGUAUCUAAAGCACGCGAAGAUCGAUUGUCGCGCGCGCGGAUGUUGGGCAAAAAUCGAUUUGAAUAUGCGAAACGCUUGCAAAAGCUUCCAUCUGAUAUAAAAUGGCAGCGUUGGAGAAUGUAGCGAUAAAGGGGAUGUUUACCUUCAACUUGUACAUCAGUCAUUACGCUGGAAGUUCCAGAUUUAUUGAUCCUUCAUCGAUUUUUUUUUUUGAUACUGCCAUCCCCGAUUCGUUUAUAAUAAUUUAUCACGACAUCUACAGUUUUGUUCUGUUUUUUGUUUUUAUUUUAUCUUAAUGGUGAAAUUUUCGCGAAAUUCGAUGCACACGAUCGCAAUAUUGUCCUUUCGAAACCUGGAGUUCUUUCGAGUACAAAAACAAGACGAUCAGAUAGAUCGACACGUGUGCAACCUAAAAACGGGUAAAGGAAAGAUGCAAAUUACAUGCAGUGCAAUUAGUGCAAAUUUGCAUGUAACCUAUGCAGAAUUUAAAAAAAAAAAAAAAAAAUCGAAGAAUGACGCGAUACUUUGGCGAAAACGUUCUUAAGUUUUUCCACCUGAUUCUGUUUCGAAUUUAGAGAGUUUGCACGGAUUUUACUUCUGUUUGGAUAUGGUGAAUAUCGAAUUAGAAUAAAAAUUUUGUGUUGCCAGUUUGCAGUUUUAAUGACGUGUAUGCUUUAUUACUGUUAUUAUUCUGUAGAUCGAUCUAAGAUAGAUCGCUGGCGAUGCAAUGAGAUGCUACGGGAAGUAUUUGAGGUGAGAUAAAGGUCCGGUAGCGCUUAGAUGCUAACUCAUUGUUCCAUUAAACAGAAGAUUGCGUGCUGUAAUAGUAGAGGACAGAAAUCUAGUUGACCGACGUUGGAAUGAUGUCAGACCAUCUGGCAUAGAGUAGGUCAUAAGAUUUAGGUCAGUCGGACAAUUCCGAAUUGGCAAAUCCGUAUUCUUUGCUCUAUUAUUACAGGUAAAGUGUGUGGAAGAUAGGGAACGGGAAAAUGAUGUUAUAAAUACUUCCAUGAGGGAUUUAAGAGCAGUUUUUUUUUCGAUAAUUGGUUUUCUUUAUUUUUCUGCAUUGCUGCUUGCUUUUUUUUCUCUCUCUCUCUCCCUCCAUAAGUCGAG